CAAGGUGGGGGAGGAAAGUCCGAGCAACAUAGAGCACCACGCAAGUUAACGGCUUGAUGUCCGUGAGGGUAUAGUAACGUAGAAGAAAAUAACCGCCCGCAAGGGUAAGGGUGAGAAGGCGGGGUAAGAGCCCACCGCGAGGGUAGCAAUACUCCUCGGCUGUGCGUCUCGUGGGUUGCAAGACCAUGUAUACCGACAAUUAAGGGUUGCUCGUCCAAUGUCGGGGGGUAGGUUGCUAGAAGCUGCGGGUGACCGUAGUUGUAGAUAAAUGAUAGAGGCCCUUUCGGGGGUACAGAACUCGGCUUAUAGCG
rnacentral:RNase_P_RNA from 1 species